UGCAGUUGUGCCCCCUCUUGCAUCAGUGUGAGAGCUACCAAUAGAAUGCAGGAUUGCUCUUUCUCUCAUCACAUUCAUGCAGCCUGCAAGACAAAGAGAAAUGGUAGAUCAAUAACAUCUAAAACAUCCUUUAAAUCCACUGAUGACAUUGGCCAUAAAAAUUAUGGCAGGAACAAGGUUGAACUUCAAAAGAAAGAUUGGAGAAACUGUUUGCAACCCGCGGUUACACAUACGGUCAGGAUUAGGAAUCCUUGUAUACGUUUGCUACAAAUAAAAAAAAAAGGGUUACCUGAAAGUGUUGGUGUAAUUCCCGAGGUGAAGAGGGAAACAGUAACAGAAUAUUGAAGAAAGAAAGGUGAUGAAAACAAGAAAAAAAAACCAAUCCCGAAUUUAAUCAUUUACAGUUUCAAGUUAGAACUUUUUCGUUGUUGUUGCUCUUUCUCCAUCUCUUAAACAGUGUUGUUCUGUUGUCCAAAACAAAACAAUUACCACACGAGAGCCAAAGUAACAGAGGCGCAUAUGCAAGCUUUGUACUCCAGCCUCGAUGAUGUGCAUUUGCAGACUACUUUUUAAUAAUAAAAAAUGGUGUGUGUGUGGAUAGACGUGCCUGAUGAUUAUAGCUGCCACGGAAGUCCAGAUAUCGGUCAGAAAAUGGUCUGCUAGAAAGAAUUCGCUAGAUGGAAACAUGCUGCUGGUAUCAAGACAGAGGACGUAAGAAAUAAAGUCUACAUACACAAGUACUGGAAAAUAAAAUAAUACUAUAGACACUAGCGUGCACUAUAUAUUACUAAGUCGCACUCAAAACUUCGGAUAGUUAAUACAAAUGAAAACGAAAUAAUAACAAAAACUAGGGGAGCUAACUGCUAGCCGGAGUCCUCGCAUUCUCGAGGGUUACGUUUCUCCCCACCUGCUUUUGUUCUGAGCCCAGGAUUAGGUGGAGAAAGACGCCUCCUUCAGUCGGUACCGCCCACACCAUAGAAGUCUUCACCUCCCACUUGGCCGAGAUGAAAACAAUUAGCGAAGACUGACCGCUUACAGUAUAGUCAGCGCCGUGUGUCCUACCUGCUGUAGUUUCUACUGUUACCUGUGUCAAUGAUUUGGUUGCUGCUUGUAUUUGGUUGCUUUGGGCUGAUGUAAUUUUAUAUCACACUUUUAUGUGUAGAUCAUUAUGUAUAGAUUUUGAUGUCGAAGAAAAUGUUCUUUGUCAUUUGCAAUUUUUCCCCGGAGAAAGUAGUGUUGUAGAAAACGUUGUCUAAACUAUUAUAUGCAGGUUCACUACUAUAGUCCACCUUAGAUCAAGUACAGUACAGGUCAAAGCACUAAAAGUUGUUGUGGGAGUAUACCUUUGUACACAUCAAACCUGUCGGUACUGGCAGAAACAGGAGAGAAACCUAUAGAAUUGGUACUACACGAUUUUCUAAAUCCAUUCUGUGUUUCCUUGCACUGCUGAGCUUUCGUCAGAGCACGGAUCGACUUUAAAGAGGUAUUUAAUGUAGUUUGUGGUUGGACAACGCAUAGAAAAUACCAAGGAUGCAGAAACAAACAUAACAGCCCCUUACCCACACAACAAUUUACAUGCAAACACCACUGUAGACACUUCCACAACCACAGACUUUGACCUCACAAGGCUUUUUUGGGGUUUGGAAGUGAGAAUGGAGAGAAGACAGGUCAGCCGCAGAGUGAUCGAAGUUCUGAAUAAAAAUCUGCAGUUAUGCGGCAAAUUCCAUCUUUGUUGUGUUCGUGUACGACUAGCCCACCCCUACGUAGCCCUUGGGCACUGACUUGUUGGUUACACCAGCUUUAUUUGUUGUAAUCCUCGUGAUCCAUUUUCUUCUCACUGACCAGAGACGUUAAAUGUUAUCUGCACCGACAAAAGCCGCUGAUCGAUACACUGGGUAUCCCUCUCGGCCCCUCCCUCUCGUUAGGCCUGUGAAAAACAAGUAAGA